rnacentral:rRNA from 1 species
UGUUCUCGGAGCGUAGUAGCAGUACUUAACUCGCGCGGAGAAAAACCUUACACACGAGGGAGUUUCUUUCUUUGAAAACAUUGCUUUGGUCUGGCGCAAGUUGGGCCAAAGGUUUAUUAAACUUCAAUUUUAUAUUGAACUGUUAUUUUAACUAAAGUCAAUUUGUUGAUUAAAUUCAAAAAUCUUCAAAACUUUCAACAACGGAUCUCUUGGUUCUCGCAUCGAUGAAGAACGCAGCGAAUUGCGAUAAGUAAUAUGAAUUGCAGAUUUUCGUGAAUCAUCGAAUCUUUGAACGCACAUUGCGCCCUUUGGUAUUCCAAAGGGCAUGCCUGUUUGAGCGUCAUUUCUCUCUCAAAUCUUCGGAUUUGGUUUUGAGUGAUACUCUUAGUCGAACUAGGCGUUUGCUUGAAAAGUAUUGGCAAGAGUGGUACUUUAGGUGCUAAACUGUUUCAAUGUAUUAGGUUUAUCCAACUCGUUGAAUCUGGUUAGUUACUUUAGGGUGCUUAGGCUCGGCCUUACAACAACAAACAAAGUUUGACCUCAAAUCAGGUAGGAUUACCCGCUGAACUUAAGCAUAUCAAUAAACGGGAGGAA